rnacentral:tRNA from 1 species
GUCUCUGUGGCGCAUUCGGCUGUUAACCGAAAGGUUGGUGGUUCAAGCCCACCCAGGGACA